rnacentral:lncRNA from 1 species
CUGCAAAGGGGCGGGAGCGGAGAACUUUCUAGAGAAGCGGUUAAACGGGUUGAGGCUCUUGGACUGAGGGACUCCAAGUGGCGAGCCUCCCAAGUCCGGGCCUGCCUCGUGGCCGGCCCUGCUCACCCAGGCCCACAGCGGAAUAGCUGGAGACAGGCAGUCAGAUGUGAAGUGGCAAAGAUCGGCCUCCCGUGAUUGUGCCACAGAUGCCCAUGGUUCCAGGCGUGGGCACCUGAGCAGUGUGGGAAAGAGAGGUCGAGGGAUUGAAAGUGUGGGCCCCGUAGGGACAGUUUCAGCCCAGGUGCACAGAUCGGACACAACUUUGCCCUCCCUGCAGCCUGGCAGGCCCACCGCAAAAAUGCCAUGAGCAGAUUUAUAAGAGCCAUAGACUUGUAAGUGGAGGUGAAUAGGAAGGAAGGUUUUCUCAACCUGCUCGCUGCUCCUAUGAGAUGCCUGUGGAGUUCUGAGUCUGUGUGGCUAAAACCAUGAAGUUCUGAUUACCGGAACAGUGCUGGCUUGAUGGAAGAUCUGUCUGGAGAGGUCCUGACUCUGCCCAGCAGUUUAGUACCCAGUUAUACAGCCUGGUGAGUGCUAUCAGACCUGCCUAUUGUAUUAUUGGCUUUGCGAGUUUUCAUUCCAGUGUAAUGAACUUUUUGUCUCUGUGUGCCCAGCAUGGUGCUGUUCGU